rfam:Acanthisitta chloris contig99912, whole genome shotgun sequence.
AUAAAGGUUUUUUUUAAAACCAACACAAUUAGUGAUCAACUAAAGUU